ensembl:lncRNA
CAAUUAUCUCCUUAGUAAGCUGACUUUGAUUGUUGGGGGUAGAUAGCCAAAAGUGGUAUAGCUGGAUCGUAGUUUUUCUGAUGAACAUCCACAUUGAUUUCCAAAUCGGAUGGACUAUAUUCACCCCAACAAUGUAUUCUUAACUUCUACAUGGUCCCUGGCUUUAAUGAACAAAGGAAUGAACAAAAGAUCUGAAGUACAACUUCAGUGAACACAAAGUUCAGAAGGCUGUGAAAGGAAGCCAUGGUUCAGACAUUGGCAGGAAAGCCAAUAAGGUUCUAACCUGUGGAGAGACCCCAGAGGUUCCUCCUCUCCUUCAGGAUAACCAGAAGAGAAAGAAGUUGUCUUGAUGUGGGGAAGAAGCAAAGAAAUGAAAACUGGGGCUGGGCAUUUUUCCCUACCCCUCAAUUUGAACAGUGCCUUUUAUUUCAUUUCUGCUUCUUCCCUACUGAUUUGGCCAUCAGGGGCAAGAACUUUGAAGAGUUCUAUUUCUUCUCUAAUGACCUCAUACCUCUGCCCCUUCCAUGCCACUGCACUACAAGAAAACUGUUGAGUCACCUCCUAUGUAAGUGACAGGUAAUAUUGACAACUAGCACUAGGAUGAACACUUUACAGAACUGACACUUAAACUGUUAAUCAAAGGAUCUCCGAUAUGACAGGUGAAGAAACAAAACUUAGACAACCAAGCAGAGGCCUCUGGACUGGUCUACUGGAGUUCUGCUUCUAUACUCUAUUGUCCUGACCUUCCUGACUCAUUUGUUCCAUCGUCACUAAAAUACAUACACAUCCAUCAAGAAAAAAAAUAAGCAGCAUUUGGAUUGGUAGUCUGAAGGAGUAGGGUAUUUUUCUAGUAAAUGAGGGAGGAAGAAGUCAGCAUGAGGGUUAUUGGGUAUGUUGAGCAGAGGGGUUAAGUGUGUCCCUAGAACGUGGCACCACUUGUCAUGGUGCACAGUGAACUAUGCAGUGUCUUUAUGAAAAGAAAGCAAUUCCCAGAUUCAUCCCACAGUUCCUAUUAUGCACAAUCCUGGCUAACAAGACAUGGAGGGAAGGCUUCCUGGAACACGUGGAGCAAAGUCAGGAAGAUGACCCAAGUGAAGGAAGGACAACAGAGCUGACCUUGGAGGACAUGGGCCAGGAGAUCUAAGAUGAGAUUCCCAGGACUGCUACCUAGGUCCAACUUAGACUCUGAGAACCAAGGAAAAUGAACCUCACCCAAGUUCCUAGGUGGCAACUGAGGACCAGCCCACUGGGAGGCCAGCUGGGGUCCCAAGCCUGGUUAUUCAAAGUAUGGGCUCUAGAACAACAGCCCUGGCAUCAUCUGGAGUGUUUAGGAUGUAGAAGCUCAACUCCCAGUCCCCACUUAACACAUUAGACCUCUGGGUGCUUUUGGCGAGCAUAAAAUCUUGAGAAGUACAUCUCAGAGAACCCGAGGCAAGGUCAAGGAUCAGUCAGGGUUGGUUGAGGGACUGAACCUCAGUAGGGUUGGGAGUGAGAGCAGGUCAGAAGGGAGAGAAAUACUUGAAGCUGUCUCCACGAGCUGUGGGUAUAUGGUUAUGUGGUAUGCAGGUAUAUCUAGACUCUAAAAGGGGUUUGAAUUCUCCAGUCAGCCUUCUCUGAGACUGUAAAAGACAGGGGCCCAUCUUCCUCCUUCAUCUGUUCCAGACCUACCCAGACAUCUCAGAGCUCCAAGAUAUGUACUCAUUCUUUGUUGAACUGAAUGGGGUCCCCCAGAAAUCCCACUAGUCAUAUAUCCUGAGUUUAUGAUCAUAGAGAGUCACCUUUGAUUCUGCAUCUCCCCCAGGAAUCUCUUGGUGUAAUAAGUAUGCUUGGGUGUUUUCUGUAGCACAAAUCAAAGCAAAACAAAAUACCCUGCUGGGUCACAGCAGAUCCAGCACCACAUCCCCCGAGAGUUCAGGCGGUGUCCAAAGAACUCAUCAUGAGAGCUGACCUGCUAAUGUGUGAUUUCUGCAAAAGGGCCAACGAACCUGCUGGCUCCCAUGACGGCUGUCUGGAAAGUCAGUGCCCAGGCGCCAAAUCCAGAGGUGCGCUUUGUACUUGGAGAGACAGAAUGGCCAGCCACCUCGAGGCUUCAGGAGCUGGAUCAGUGCACAGCAGCCUCCAACUGGCAAGAGUUAAUGCUAAGGUGCAGCUGCAGGAAUGUGAAGCUGGAGAGCUAGCUCGGGGAAUUGCUAUUGCAAUCAGAGGACAGCCCAAGUCAGAGUUCCAAAACCCUUUGAAGGGCUGCCAGCUCGGACACAUGUCUCCAAUUAUCAUAUGCAAUCUUGAGGCAGUGUGCAAGCUGCACUUUCAUUAUGUCAAAGUGAAAGGAGUGGUGAGGGAGAGAUAAAGUGGGGAGAGGCCGCCAGGCCGGAGACUGCUUCGCUGUGGCACCAAAUGUCAGCCCGGGUGCAGAGUGAGCCUCCAACGUAUGUCUGUCCGGGAGCCCGAGGUGUGUGGCUCCUACUCUGAGAGCCUUUGUUUUCUUUCUUUCAUUCUGAGGAUGGAGGAGAACCAGCUGACAGCCACAGGAGGCCCUGUCUCUAGGAAACUUGACCAUCUCUUUGGUAUUGGAUCUGACCACAGAUAAGAUUCUGUGGAAACUUCCCAGGGACAUCCACUGUGUCCAGCCACAGGCUUUCAGGUUAUUUCUUAAAAUUUUUCAAGGUCUGUAUUUCCAUGGGGAGCCGGUUCCUUUGCCUGGUGUAACUAAGAAGGAGGCAUAAGAAUAGAUAGCUCCUUCUUGCCUAUCCAGGGUUGGCUGUUUCUAGGCUGGGUUUUGCUUUUUUUUUUUUCAUUCUGAACCAAGUCCUAGCCCAGGAGACCAUUGCCCUCAACUUCAUUUUCCAAACACAGACCAAUAGAUUUUCCUCAGAGACAUCUCCCAGGCUUAUCUCUUCCACACCAUUGCCUCUUAGGACUGAGCUCAUCAUUUGGAAUGGAUAUUUGACUGAUCCAUGUGUUACUCUGUGUUUUUAAGUAAGUUUGCAGAGGUAUGGGAGGGUAGAACAUAUACUUUCUGGCUUCUUCUUAGCUCUCAAGAGUUAUUUAUACAUGCAUGCAGACUCACAUAUUUACACAUACAGUUUUAUGUAUGAAUAUGUCUUUACAUAUUGUAUUUACAUAUGUACAUGUAUUAUCUGUGUUAUAUGCAAAAUUGCUGCUGUACUAAGGACUUUAUAAGAUAGCAACAGAAUUUCCAUUACCACCCUUGUUUUGCAUUAAGAGAAGUGACAUUUAGAGCGAUAAGGAGCUUGCCAGCACCAUUCAACCAAGCUAGUGGUGAGGCCAGGCUUGGGCUGUGACACUCUGGUCACAAUCCUCAUAACAUCUCCGUCUGAAAUCCAUUCAGUUGUCUCCCAUGCUGUGUACCCAGGAAAUGUCACUUGGAGUAGUAUUCCAUUUAUUGAUGACAUAGGGGGUGUGCAGGGAGAGGAGACAUGCUAGGACUGGUGGCUGUGAAGAAAAAGGCAAGAACUAAGUUAUGCCUUACCUGCCCUGAGAUCCUGCUUAAGCAGACACUUGCCUGCUGUCUGGAAGAUUGGGCCGUGAUGUGGAAGAGACAUAGCUGGAAUGCACCCCUCACCAGGAAGCAGGCCUGGGUUAGAGGAAUCUCCUCAGUUCAUUGCUGUGGUUAAUUCUGGCCAACUUUGGCCCCUGGGCCCCCUGAGCCUCCUCCGCAAACCCAGAAGAACUCUGGAGAGGUCAGAGCAUUUUUAUUCACCAAUCCAAGUGAAAUGCAGCAAAACACACUCCACAUGCUUGACACGUGGAAAUUCUCAGAGCCAGCGGUUGAUAAAUGUGCCAAACUUGAGGAGUAAACAUCCCAGAGAAGGCAGAGCUGCAUGCAAGCCUUCCUGGCUUCAUCAGGUGGUUAUAUUAGCUUCAGAGCCUGGAGGCUAGCUCAUAACUAAUCCGUACAAGGUGUUGAGCCCUGUGCCUGGUAGACAGUGAGUAAGGUCUCAGUAGGUGCUAAUAGGCACAUUAGUACACUCGCUAUUACUAGUCGGAAGGAACCGAUCGGAUAGUUAUAACAACACUAGUAGCCAAUGAGCUUACUCGCCUCAUGGAAAACCAUCCCACCACAUUCUAAGGGCCUUCUAGUGUGCAAUUGACUCUAGUUUUCAAAACUAGAAUUUUGUUACAUAUUUCUUAAAUGCUAGGUACAUACAUACACAUAUAUACAUGUACACAUAUAUGUACACACACACACAUAUAAUCUUAGUUAUUGCUAGACUUUCUGAGAACUUAACUCCUAGAUGGUUGUUAAGAACUGUGUGGAAAGGCUGACAAGACGGCUCAGCUUGCAAGCUUGGCAACCUGAGUUUGAUUCCUGUGAGAACCCCUCCAUGAGGUUGUCUUCUGCCCUCCAUACAUGUUACAUGGCAUGUAUGCUAAAAUACACGCCCCCCCCCACACACUCAGUACAUUUGACAAAAGAACCUUGCUUAAGAUAACCCAGUCCAAGCUCUCCAUGUGAUGUCCAAGUCUGUUUCUUCAUCACUACUCUGGAACUUCUGGAACCUACAUGAUCCCCAUGAACCCAGGUUCAGGCAGGAUCUGCCCAGGGCACUGCCAUUCUGCUCCUCCCCUUCUGGGCACAGCUGUACACAUCUGUAUUCCAUGAUGCCCACUGAGAAGAGGGCUUCUCUAUCCCGUCUGUAAUGCACCAGUAAACAAACAUCCAGUGAGCCCUAGCAUGGCUGUUCCUUUCUUAAGUCAGCACAGGGUUGCUCAUAGCUGUGGCUUCUGACCCUUGCCCAGGACUUAACCGGUUUCAUGGCUUUACUUCAUGCUCACAAUCCUGCGAUUAUUUUCACAGCCGCCCAGUGUAAAAGGAGCUGUGCUUUGCCAGCAUUUGCAGAGAGGACUGAGAGAGCCAGCCUCAGGACUCAGCUCUGCUGUCAGCAUCCCCGAACUUGUCCCAUUACAGAGGGCUGCUUCCUCUCCACCAUGGGCAGCUGAUGACUUUGGCUCUGUGUGGCCCAGUGCCUGCAACUGUUCUGUUCCUGCCUUUAGUAGGAAGACCAUGAGGUCAACACUGAGGACAGGUCUCUGUGUUCCAGAUAACCUGGGCUUCCCCUUGGUUCUUCUUUUCUUGUUUAUUUUUUUCUCACCAGCAUAUAGGCCAGGCAUCCCAGAUGUGGCAGGACCUGCCCUCUAUCCUCAACUCCAGGUCUGAGGCAGGUGUCCCCCACAGGGCUUAAAAUUUUGGGCACACGCCUGUGGUCCACAGGAACUGGCCUAGCCAUUUGGUGGUGCUGAAGACCCGUGACUAUCUCUGCCUUCUGUUAGGAGUGGGAGAAGCUCAUGGUCUGACUAGCGGUGGGGAAGUCCAAGGGACAAACGGGGGCUCUAACCAUAAUCAGAACACCAGUGCUGUCGGUCUGCUCCUGGAACCAGGAGAGGUGGCAAAAAAAAAAAGGAUCUUGGAGAGAGAGGGUGGACUGGGCGAGCAGAGGAGACAGUGGGUUAGUGCUAGUUUUCUGUGACAGGUUGGAGGAUGUCUUCAGAUGAAAGAAGGUGCCAAAGAGAAGAGGGAAACCAAGGUAGAAAAAUCUUAGGAAGAAACGGAUGAAAAAGCAUGGAAUGGGCUUCUCUAUGAACACAAUGGAAUAUUUGGAGCUGCCUUUUCCUUAUGCUCAAGGGGUUGGGACCCUGGCCGUGCAGUGACCUCUCGGGGAAGCCAAGAUAGACUGCUAGCUGGAACUUCCCCCCACACAGGGGAAGAGUUCAAGCUGUGGAAAGGCCCUGGCCUGAGGUGGGUUUGGACUGCUUACACUCUGACCAGCCAAACUGAUAGCUCCUUGUGCUGUGUGAAAACACUGGCUUCCACAUUGUGACUGCAGUGUUCACCGAGAGCACAGUUUGCCUUUGGGGGAGCAAUGGUGCUGUGGUGGCAGGGAGGCUGUUUCUACCAGUAACUGUAGAACUUCUUUCCUGGAAAUUGGGUGCCCUCAAUGGGUCUCCAUUAGAGAUUCAGGUGACACGUUAGCCCUGUUAGCAGGCCAGGGAGCCAACGGCGUUUUUCAGAUAUCCCAAAGAGUCUGACAGUACUGGGGCAUGGCUCUCUACAAGUGGCUUUACUGGUGUAGCCACUCAGAGGCACAGCUGCUCUGCCUAAAAGCUUCCAGAAUGUCUCCCUCGCCAGCACUGUCUUCACAUCCAGGACUUAGCAGCUCUGUGUGCCCCUAGGAGAAAGACCUUUAGAACCUAUCUCUUCACAAGAGGGGCCUGGGACUUCUGAGGCCAUGGAAUAGGAACCCUGCAAAACCCACAGACACCGGCUAGUGGGAGGACUCCCUUUAUCUGACAAAGCAUCUCAGCACGGAAUGUUCUGGGACAAAAUUGAGGCUUGAGGGAAGCAACCACAACAACAAAAAAAACAAGAUGAAGGGGAUGGUGACUACAUCCUGCUCUGUGGAGGAUUCUGCAGUCUCUCUGUUACCUUUGCUGCUCUUAAGACAGUGGUCAUGAGUACAUUCUGUCUGUUUCCUUUCCUAUUUAGAGGAAAGGAAAGCAGCUGUGCCCACCUGACUUGGCCCCUCUCCCCUCCAUCUUCCUGGGCUUAUUUGUGUUAGUCUUACUAUGUUUGUCUUUAUCUGUUCUAUAGCAACCCUCGUCUCUACAGGUCUUAAUGGUCCCAGCUAGUUCUGGUCACUUGUGGAAAACGUCUCAGGAAGAAUAAAAAGUUUUCAAAAGUUCACUUCUGACUGGUUACUGACUUUCUAGUUGGAAGCAGAUGCUGGGGUACUAGGCCACUGACAGUUGCUGCUAGAGCUGUUUGUGGGUGGCAAGAAGUUUGGAAGCCUUACUGUUUUCUUGGGGUAGGGAUGCCUUUCUACAGGAAGCCACAGGGGAAUAAUGGAGAGGCAGCCAUCAUUGUUAAGGUAAUCUUAACAUGAAAUCAGAUAUGCCAUGACAGGC